rnacentral:rRNA from 1 species
AAAUAGAUACCCGGGUAGUCCACGCCGUAAACGAUGGAUACUAGCUGUUGGAGGUAUCGACCCCUCCAGUAGCGGAAGCUAACGCGUUAAGUAUCCCGCCUGUGGAGUACGGUCGCAAGACUAAAACAUAAAGGAAUUGACGGGGACCCGCACAAGCGGUGGAUUGUGUUCUUUAAUUCGAUGAUAAACGAAGAACCUUACCAGGGUUUGACAUCCCAAGAAUUAUGCCGAAAGGCGUGAGUGCUUUAUUGAACUUGGUGACAGGUGAUGCAUGGCCGUUGUCAGCUCGUGUCGUGAGAUGUUUGGUUAAGUCCAUCAACGAGCGCAACCCUUGUGAAUAGUUGAAUUUUUCUAUUCAGACUGCCCCGGCAACGGGGAGGAAGGAGGGGAUGAUGUCAGGUCAGUAUUUCCCUUACAUCCUGGGCUAGAAACGCAAUCAAUGGUUAGUACAAUGCGCAGCGAAGCCGCGAGGUGAAGCAAAUCGCAUCAAAGCUAAUCCCAGUUCGAUAAGAGGCUGAAACUCGCUCUUGAAUCGG